AAACAUUUUUUUAAGAAUUAAUUAAAAUAAAACCUGCUCAAUGAAUAAUUUAAAUAGCCGCAGUAUAUUAACUGUGCUAAGGUAGCAUAAUCAUUAGCCUCUUAAUUAGAGGCUAGAAUGAAUGGUUAUACAUUUCUUUUACUAUUUUUUAUUUUCUAAAUAUAAAUUAUACUAAAUAUAAAAAUAUAUUUAUAAAAAAAAUAGACGACAAGACCCUUUCAAACUUUACUUUAGUUAAGCUGGGGAAGCUAUAAAAUUAUAAUCUUCUUUUUAUUUUUAAAAAUAGACCUAAUUUAAAAUUAAUUUAAUGAAUAAGUUACUGAAGGGAUAACAGCAUUAUAUAUUUUAAUAGUUCUUAUAUAAAAAUAUGUUUUUGACCUCGAUGUUGAAUUAUUUUUCUUUUAAACGCAAGAGUUUAAAAAGUAGGUCUGUUCGACCUUUAAUAUUUUACAUGAUCUGAGU
rnacentral:rRNA from 1 species